rnacentral:tRNA from 1 species
GGAGAGAUGGCUGAGUUGGCUGAAAGCGCGCGACUCGAAAUCGCGUAGGCGGGCAAUCCCCGCCUCGGGGGUUCGAAUCCCCCUCUCUCCGCCA